rnacentral:rRNA from 1 species
AUUGAACGCUGGCGGAAUGCUUUACACAUGCAAGUCGAACGGUAGAGGGGCAACCCUUGAGAGUGGCGAACGGGUGAGUAAUGUAUCGGAACAUGCCCAGUCGUGGGGGAUAACGUAGCGAAAGUUACGCUAAUACCACAUACGAUCUAUGGAUGAAAGCGGGGGAUCGCAAGACCUCGCGCGAUUGGAGUGGCCGAUAUCAGAUUAGGUAGUUGGUGGGGUAAAGGCCUACCAAGCCGACGAUCUGUAGCUGGUCUGAGAGGACGACCAGCCACACUGGGACUGAGACACGGCCCAGACUCCUACGGGAGGCAGCAGUGGGGAAUUUUGGACAAUGGGCGAAAGCCUGAUCCAGCCAUUCCGCGUGCAGGAAGAAGGCCUUCGGGUUGUAAACUGCUUUUGUACGGAACGAAACGCGCUGUGCUAAUACCACGGCGUAAUGACGGUACCGUAAGAAUAAGCACCGGCUAACUACGUGCCAGCCGCCGCAGUAAAAC